rnacentral:tRNA from 1 species
GGGCCUGUAGCUCAGCUGGGAGAGCGCUAGCAUGGCAUGUUAGAGGUCGUCGGUUCGAUCCCGAUCAGGUCCACCA